GAUGAAGAACGUAGCGAAAUGCGAUACUUGGUGUGAAUUGCAGAAUCCCGUGAACCAUCGAGUCUUUGAACGCAAGUUGCGCCCGAAGCCACUAGGCCGAGGGCACGCCUGCCUGGGCGUCACACGCCGUUGCCCCCCCAUCUACUCCUUCGGGAUUGCGGGGGGGCGGAUGAUGGCCUCCUGUGCGCCUAGCCGCGCGGUUGGCAUAAAUACCAAGUCCUCGGCGACGCACGCCACGACAAUCGGUGGUUGCGAAACCUCGGUUGCCCGUCGUGUGCGUUCGUCGCGCAUCGAGGGCUCGAAAAAAUGCUCGGCUCCGGCUGGGCUUUCAACGCGACCCCAGGUCAGGCGGGGUUACCCGCUUAAUUUAAGCAUAUCAAUAAGCGGAGGA
rnacentral:misc_RNA from 1 species